rnacentral:lncRNA from 1 species
ACUCUGUUUUUUAAAUGCUUCUAUAUCCAUGUAGCUUUUCAGAUUGCUAGAUUUCUUGGGAGGACUUAUUUGAAUUCAUGUUAAUGCUGACCUCCUCUUGUAUUUCUUACUUGUUCUUUCAGGUCAAUGUUACACUGUGAAAAGUGCUGUUCUCAUCUCCUUUCCCUUUUGCCACCUCUUCUUUAGAAAAACCUGGUAAAAUGAUAUCUAGUUUCCACUGCAAGUGGUAACAAAAAUGCUUGACAAUGAGCAGUCUGUUUAGAACACUCAGUUCUAGGUUUUUAUGAUUUAGCUUCUUGGGCCUUAAUUUUUUUCUUGUCAAAAUAGUGGCAGCAUUAGUUUAUUACUGUGCAGUUGAGAAACAGAGUAAGAUUUUCUUCCUAAAAGCCUGUGGAAUAAACUAUAUCCUAUGACAUGAAUAGCUCUUUUGGUAAAUGUACAUAUUGGAAUCUAAGGUGGCAGGUGGGUGUUUCUUUUCUUAUGAAAGGCAUAUAUGGUGACCCCAGUCUUGCGAUACAACACACGUGCUGAACUGACUUCAGUGGGAGUUCCUGUAUGCUUAAUUAUUGCACAGUGAUAGUUAUUUUAGCCAGAGUAGGUGAUGCACUGUUCUGAAACUACAGCUCCUUUGUGGUGCUUCCACUUUUCAAGAUUUCAUUGUUUGAAAACAUGCUUUAUUUACAGGCUAGGAACUGGCCUUACUAAAGUCCUCUUUUAAAUUUAUUUUAUAUGCCUAUAGAGUCAGAAGGAAUCCUGAGUCUACUGAAUCAGUUAACCAGAAUUACCUCCUAUGUGAACAUAUUCCAAAGAUCAUCAAGUCAGAGGGAAGGCAUCUGUGGGAUUUUAAUGUUUUGAGAUCUGGCUUUGUACUGGAGACACAUUUUUAUCUGAAAACUAACCCUGGCAGCUUUCUGCUCCUGUGGAUGAAACUCAGAUCUGUGGACGCUGCAAUUUAUAGCUUCACAUGAGCAAUUCCUGUGCUUUUGUCUGACAGACUGUUAGAAGUACCAGUUAGAGGUGCUUUUCAUUUCCUUUUUUAGACUAUUCCUAUUAGAAUGUAGUUGCACAUGCAUACAUUCCCAUACCACUUUUCAGUUCACCUAAAGACUGGACCCAAAACUAGGUAGUCAGUGUAACAUGCUGUAGUCAACCUGGGUUUCAGACUUAGAACUGUACUUCUGUGAGAGAGCUUGAGCCAGACCCAUCAGUCUUUUGGACCCGUUCCUCCUUCCAGUUCUGCUCUUUUUAUAUUGUCUUUCUCUGUCUUUGUGCUUACACUUACCCCAAGGUGGCUCUGACACAGAUCUGUUCAUAUGGGAAUCUGAUUAAAGUAAAAUAGCAGGAAAUUACCCUGGUGAUCAGGGUAAUUUUAUUAUUUUUUUAUUUCCUGGAAUUCAGUGAAUUGAGAGGAAGGAAUCAUGUGGUUAGGAUGAGAGUUGGUGGAGGGAGGGAGGAGCAAGUACUUUCUUUUUGUUAUGAGCAACCCAUUAACCCCACUCAGCCAUAACAUUAAAUUG